rnacentral:lncRNA from 1 species
UCUCUGAUUGAUAAACUUCAUUUACAUGCUUCAAAAUUCUUAGAACAAGAUUUGAUCAUUUCAUGAAAUAAGGAUUUAAGCUCCUUCACCAUCAUCUUCUCAUUUUCCUUGGUAAAAGCCUUAAUUUCUUGAUUAGUAUGUCUGUAUAUUUGAUUUCAAAAUUUAUCUGGUGUUUGAGAUAGUGAUAUGGUGCUGAGAACAUGUUGGAAAUUUCAAAACCACGUUCUGUUAUGAAUUCCGUCACAAACAUCAGUUUUUCCGUCACAAAGCUCUGUUUUUCCGUCACUAACAGAACCUGCAGGGGACAAUUUCCUGUUUCGGUUCUCCAACUUGAAAAUUGCAUAACUCUCUCAUCUUUUAUCCGUUUUAGGUAUAUGACCACUUUUUAGAAAGCCCCAAGAGUCUACUUUAAUAUAAAAUAUAUUUGAAACUCUUUCUACUGCUAAUUGGCUGAAGAAAAUAUAUAUUUCUAACGUAGUAUGUUUUACUAAUCUCUUUACAAAGGUUGUUGUGGUUGAGUAGAGUUUCAUGUUAAUGUAUUAAGUUUUCUAAAAAUUUGUUUUCUUUGAGUUAAGUGGUUUUGGGGUUUUAAGGAUUUUGUUUUAAGCCUUAAUUAGUUGUUUUAAGUGCUAAAAAUAGCUUUGAAAUAGAUUUGGCGAAAAAGGAAAAUUUGUACAUGGUUAUGUAGGUGUGGCCGAGACUAUGGUACGUGCUUUGGGUUUGGAAAAUUACUUCUGAACUUGUUUUUUUUCUUUAAUGAAAAUCCUAAGUUAAGUUUGAGGACUAAAAGUUUAUUGUGGGAAAACUUUGGACUUAAGACACAAGAGGUUGAAGAGUUUUGGGUUAAACUUGAGUUUUAAAAGUCUUGGGGUUUGUUUGAUAAAUUUAUUAAAGAUUGAGGGUUGAAAAAGAACUUACUCUUAGAUGAGGACCUUUGCGUGAUUAUGUGUUUGUCAAGGGACUAGGGUUGAAUUACUUAAAAAUUGAGGGGUUGUUUUCCUUAUGGGCUUUUGAAGGACCGUUCUUUAACUUGCAAAUAUCUUCUCUUUGGACUUUAGUCCUUGAAACAUAAAGCAUAUGCAUUAACCUAAGUGAGUUAGAAUGAUUAGCUAAACUUGUUUUGGAACUUUAGAUGUGACCUUAGAGGCUAAGGUUUAGUAUAUGAACUUGUGAAGGGUACGAAGGACGAAAGCGCCUUGCGGCGAAGCUAAAGAAUAAAAGGAAGCGAGCCGACGUGGAAAACAAAGAUGUGAUUGGAUUGAAGUUGCAGUUUAGGAAAGAAAUUGGCUAAGGUAAGGGCAACUUACCUUACUAGCUAAUGCUUUAGGUGUCGACGAAUUCGACUUGAUUUAUUGUUUAUGCACUUGUUUGUGAUUGACUGGGAAAAGUUUUCUGAGGCUUCGGCUGACAAUGUAGAUGAUUCAUCUACUGAAUGUUUUUGGAGAUUGACUUACAUGCUAUGUGCUAUGUGGGUAAUCUAGGAUGUGUGGUGCAUGCCUUAUAUGCUAAGUGCUAUGUGGUUAUUGCUUAUUAUGUUGAUAUAUGACAUGUUGAUUGAUGGUGCUGAGUUAUUUAUGCUUUAGCAAUGAAAUCUGAGUUUCUGAAUAGUGAGAAUAGCGGGCAGGUCAUGCCGAUUUUAUUUUGAGAGUUUUGGGGAAAGUUUGAUAGGACGAAUGAGAUUUGGGACUUGUUAUGGUGUUUUAUGGAUCGAGACAUUCUCUGGUGUCAUUUGGGGAUUAGAAGAUCCCGAGAACUGAUAGGAUUUGCGAUAAGACUAAAAGGAUACUAUUUUGUAAAGAAAACUCAUAAGACAUUAAACAACCUCUAAAUCUUCACAUAAGGAUAAUAAACUCGAGAGGAAGCUUCGGAUGCAAAUCUUAGUUUUGGAAAACGAGAAGUGUCGUCGGAUCCAAGUGUUGAUGGAGUUUGAUAAGUUUUGAGUAUGUUGAUACUCUUGUGCUGUUGGAGCAGCUAUGUGUUGUUGGGCUAUCCGGGGGAUAAGUCCGGAAAAUUGAUAUUUUCCGAGUAUGUUGAUACUCUUGCUCGUUGAGCAGUUUUGACCAUCGGAUGGAGAUGAGUCGGAUGAUUUGGAGAUCAUCAGGAGAUACAGUAUAUGCCUUCGGGUACAGUAUAUGCCUUCGGGUACAGUAUAUGCCUUCGGGUACAGUAUAUACCUUCGGGUACAGUAUAUCUAUAUACCUUCGGGUACAGUAUAUCUAUAUACCUUCGGGUACAGUAUAUGCCUUCGGGUACAGUAUAUACCUUCGGGUACAGUAUAUCUAUAUACCUUCGGGUACAGUAUAUGCCUUCGGGUACAGUAUAUGCCUUCGGGUACAGUAUAUCUAUAUACCUUCGGGUACAGUAUAUCUUUAUGCCUUCGGGUACAGUUUAUGCCUUCGAGUACAGUUUAUGCCUUCGGGUACUGUUUAUACCUUCGGGUAAUUCGGACAUCGACGGGGGAUAUGAUCGACCGUGAGGUUAGGAUCGACCUGUUGAUUGUCGGGCAUGGCGGAGGGAAAAGUCGACUCGCAGGGUUAGGACUGAUCCGGCUAUGUCAAGGUUGUAAGUGACACCCGAGGGUUAUGGUCGACACAAUGCCAGUGUUAGGACCGACUCGAUCGUGCCCAGCCUACUUCUUCCGGAACCGUUGAAAUUGACGUUGCAUUGACAUAUCAUGCACUCUAACUAUAUUCGUUGAGAUUCUGAUGAUUUGAUGUUGAUAAACAUCGUUAUGUGUUUUGAUGAUUUGAUGUUGAUAAACAUCGUUAUGUGCUUUGAUGAUUGAAUUGUAUUAGAGAUUUGAUAACAUGCUAUGUUUAAACCUUAGGGUAGACAGUGCAGAACUCAUACGUAUAUAUACAACAUAUAUAUAUAUACCCCUUAUACUUUACUUGUUGUCUUGUAUUCUUUAUACCAUAUUCCGUAAGUUGACCCUUGCACGUGCUACCUGUGUUUGGGGGGCUAUGUAUGCCCUUUUUGUCAGAUGCCGUUGACGGAUUGUUUCGUGAUGCUUCGUCGUACGGGGAAGACCCGGAGCGAAAUGACUACUACUGAGCCUUCGACGUGGACCCGGACUGAAUGCAUGACCAGAUGAGGGUCGAUGAUGGAAGUAUAGGGUAUGGGUGUUUAGAGUCUACUAAGGUUGGGUGUUAGUGUCCUAGCUCUGACUUAUUCUUAUUUUUGAGGGCUUGUGUUGCUGACACUUGACCUUUCUUUUGGUUUGUACUUUUGCCUACGGGCGUUACCUUUUCUUACUUCCCGUCACUGGAGUUUUACUCGUGACGUGGUUUACUACUUACAGCGGGGGCUGUAAUAUAUAUUGUGUAUUAGUUCUGCUAUCUCUCGCAUUUGCGUUUAUUGAUUUUAGUCUUGUUUAUAUUAUCAAAAAAAAAAUAAUCCAUGUUUUUCCGCCUUAAGUUUCUUUUGGUUACUAAAGUGACGCCACCGAAAUCGGGGUGUUACAUUGUGGUAUCAGAGCUUGUCGAGUCUUUCGGGAGUCUUUGGGGAAUAGGUCUUCUGUGCUAGGUUGUGUGACUCUGCAAAGAGUGAAAAUUGAUUGUCUGCAAGCGAUUUUUCGCUUAGAAUUGAUUGAAGUUAUUGCUUAAUCAUAUUGUAUAGCAUGCUAGAUGCUAUCUUAUGAUGAGUACUAACUGUUUGAUUGACUUAACAUAACCUAGAUGUUAUCCUAGGAAUGAAUUAGUUGUCCCACUAUCAUUGUCUUUUGGACUGCAACCGAAUAAGAUGAUAUGUCUGUUGAGACGCCGUCGGUCAACAUUGGGACUAGAAGAGUGAAACAAUCGAAGGGAAAGCAGAGUGCUUUAGUAAGAGUUAUUUGGAACAAAGACACAGACGGUGCCAUAUGGGAGUUAGAGGAAAAGAUCAAGAACAAUAUUCAGAACUUUUACUGACCCUUAAGUUUCGAGGUCGAAACUUUCUUUUUGGAGGGUAGUAAUGUAAGACCCAAGUUUUUAAGCUUAGAAUAAGUGGAAGAGAUUUCCAUUUACGAUUAGGUUUGACGUAUCGUGAAGGGAAAACCUGAACAAGAGUUUAUCGAAUGGAAUAAAUUUGUGAAGGAGAAAGUUCAGGAAAAGUCUAAGGAUUGUAUCAGAAUCGAUAAAAGGUAUAGCACGAUCGAUUCGCUAAAACCUAGGACAAGAACCUUAGGAUAAGACUAUGUUCCACCCUUGGAACACUGUAGGAAUUUAGUCCAAAAAUCUUCAGAGAAAUGUUAGAACUUCUCUUAUUCCAUAUAUCACAAUCGUUUCGAUGCGAAACUCUAGGAUCUACGAACGUCCGAUUCCAAUCAUCGGAAGUUUGCCGAAACUAAAACCCUGAUAGUUCAAGAACCCUAGAAUCAACCGACGAUGAAGACUUUUUCUAUUCGGAACUUCAGAUGAAGAUUCUACACGCGUACACCCAUUUCUCUUGAUGAUUUCAAUCUUUCUUCAGAAGGAAGUUUUCUCUUCCGACAUCCACUGCAAAAAGUAACUUAUCGGGUAAAAUAGUUUUACCCCGACUUUGCGUUAGUCACCUAAAAUACCAGGAAACCUCUUUUGACUUUUGGAUUUAUGUCGCCAAAACCUAUCUUAGAAUUCACGGAGAAUGAAGCCGGAAAAAUCGGAAUCACUCUUAUAUUUUUAUCUUAACUCUGAGUUAAAUCCUCCGAUAUCUAAACAAAACUGUACCAGUUUACAAAAUAUCUACUCAUUCUUAUCCUAUCUCUGAUAAAUAUCUAUUCAACCUUAUCCGAUCUUUGAUAUAUAUCUACUCAUUUCUUGGUUAAUGGAUCAUUUUAAUUUGCUCAAAGUGAUCAUAAUUUAUAUUUUACUAUUUCAUAAAGUUCCUCAUAAUUUUUAGUAUAGUUAUAUAUCCAUUAGAUAUUUUUCUCUUAACUUUGUGAGCUAAAUUCUUAAGUGUAUAAAUCAAUUUAUACCAGUUUACAAAUAUCUUUCUUAAAUAUCUAAACAUCCCUAUCCUCUCUUAUUCUUUUCUUUUCUGGCAGCACCCAUAAACACACGCACACCACGGUCCCUCUCUUUCUCUCAUUCUCGUCGACUGUCUUGCUCAAUUCUGACUUUUCCUUCUUUCUCUUCAUAAUUAUCUUUCUUUCUUAUUCUUCUUCUUCUCUAUUUCUAUAUAUAUAUAUAUAUAUAUAUAUAUAUAUAUAUCUCACCAUCCUUAUCCCCCAUCCACUGUCAUACUCGACACACCCAUUCCUUUUUCUUCAUUUCUUCCAUGCCAACUUCAUCACCAUAUAUCAUGUUCUUCUUUCUCCUUCAAUCAAAGACAAACCACCACCGUCCAUUCUUCUCCUUCUCCUCUCUAUGGCCUCAAAAGGAGCAGCACCCACACGCACCACAUGAGCCACCACCUUCACGUUUUCUUCCUCUCCAUGGCAGCACCUCACCAUCACCACCGCCCCUCCUCCUCACCAUGGCUGUUGUGUCCAGCCAAGAGGCCACCACGAGGAGGCCAGCACCACAAGGAACACGUACAGCCCCAUUCAUCAUAUGGUAUUGUUCAAGCUUCAUCAUCCAUAUCAUGACAAGGAGACACCAUCACCAUGCCACUUUACUUCCUCAUGUGGUAAAACCUUUUUCCUUCCUAUCUCUGAUUGAUAAACUUCAUUUACAUGCUUCAAAAUUCUUAGAACAAGAUUUGAUCAUUUCAUGAAAUAAGGAUUUAAGCUCCUUCACCAUCAUCUUCUCAUUUUCCUUGGUAAAAGCCUUAAUUUCUUGAUUAGUAUGUCUGUAUAUUUGAUUUCAAAAUUUAUCUGGUGUUUGAGAUAGUGAUAUGGUGCUGAGAACAUGUUGGAAAUUUCAAAACCACGUUCUGUUAUGAAUUCCGUCACAAACAUCAGUUUUUCCGUCACAAAGCUCUGUUUUUCCGUCACUAACAGAACCUGCAGGGGACAAUUUCCUGUUUCGGUUCUCCAACUUGAAAAUUGCAUAACUCUCUCAUCUUUUAUCCGUGUUAGGUAUAUGACCACUUUUUAGAAAGCCCCAAGAGUCUACUUUAAUAUAAAAUAUAUUUGAAACUCUUUCUACUGCUAAUUGGCUGAAGAAAAUAUAUAUUUCUAACGUAGUAUGUUUUACUAAUCUCUUUACAAAGGUUGUUGUGGUUGAGUAGAGUUUCAUGUUAAUGUAUUAAGUUUUCUAAAAAUUUGUUUUCUUUGAGUUAAGUGGUUUUGGGGUUUUAAGGAUUUUGUUUUAAGCCUUAAUUAGUUGUUUUAAGUGCUAAAAAUAGCUUUGAAAUAGAUUUGGCGAAAAAGGAAAAUUUGUACAUGGUUAUGUAGGUGUGGCCGAGACUAUGGUACGUGCUUUGGGUUUGGAAAAUUACUUCUGAACUUGUUUUUUUUCUUUAAUGAAAAUCCUAAGUUAAGUUUGAGGACUAAAAGUUUAUUGUGGGAAAACUUUGGACUUAAGACACAAGAGGUUGAAGAGUUUUGGGUUAAACUUGAGUUUUAAAAGUCUUGGGGUUUGUU